UAGGGAAUCUUCCGCAAUGGGCGAAAGCCUGACGGAGCAACGCCGCGUGAGUGAUGAAGGUCUUCGGAUCGUAAAACUCUGUUAUUAGGGAAGAACCAUUGUGUAAGUAACUAUGCACGUCUUGACGGUACCUAAUCAGAAAGCCACGGCCAACUACGUGCCAGCAGCCGCGGUAAUCCGUAGGUGGCAAGCUUUAUCCGGAAUUCUUGGGCGUAAAGCGCGCGUAGGCGGUUUUUUAAGUCUGAUGUGAAAGACAACGGCUCAACCGUGGAGGGUGAGUGGGGACUGGAAAACUUGAGUGCAGGAGAGGAAAGUGGAAUUCCAUGUGUGGCGGUGAAAUGCGCAGAGAUAUGGAGGAAAACCAGUGACGAAGGCGACUUUCUGAUCUGUAACUAACACUGAUGUGCGAAAGCGUGGGGAUCAAAGAGG
rnacentral:rRNA from 1 species